CGUGCGGCCGACAGAGGAAGCGGACUGUUUAGCGAAGAGAAACGGGGAAGCUCUAAAGCCAUCGACCACAAACUGGACAGUCUUCACUUUGCUCUGUGGUGUAGACGAAUGAACCAACAAAAUUCCCUCUGCAAGUAAACCACAAUAUAUUAGAACCAGCUAUAUUUCCAGGAUCAGUCAUUUCUACACAAACUCUAUUUCUACAGGAGCUUUAAUAGCAUGCAAGUGAGAGCUUAAAGCAACAGGAACGUUCGAAGUUUGUCGCAGGAGUUGGGCAGUUUGAAUGAUUCCAAAAUGGCGGGGAUAUCCAAUGCAUAUUAUUAUUAUUGUUUCUGAGAGACCAUGUGAUUAUUAAUUCUUUAUAUCUUUUACCUCAACAAAACAAUAAUAUCAAAACAAACAUUGUUUGACUGUUAUUGUUUUCCACCAUUAUUUGUUUUGCAUUCAAAACUGUGUAGAGAAAUGCAACAUGGAGGGACUAGUGGUCACGUGGUUGCUGGACACCAUUUUCGGUCCAAUGUAGCACAACCCGAUGUGCAGUCUAGUCUGGUACCCUGUCGUUUCUUUGGACCGAAAAUGGCCCUUCAAAUCGCAAAUCGUCGCAACUCACUUAAUACACAGUUCUGAGUUCGUUCACACUAUAUAGUGCUAUUCACACGACAGAAAUUUAACUGGGGUCCCUUGCUUAUUUUAGCAUGGUUGUAAAAUGUAGCAAUGUUUGACAAGAUUUUGCAAGAGAACCUGGACAGUAAAAACAAUUGUCGUCCUUUCAAACGAAGAAUAUUUUGUAAAAUGUUUACAACCAUGCUUCAAUUUAUCAAGGGACCCUUGCUAAAAUGCUCUCGUGAAAGGGGCUUAAAGCGACCUCUUUCUAAAAGAUUUGCAUCGCGUUUAAAUUGUACAAUCUACCCUUAAGUUAAGCCCCGGAACCCUUCCUCCGUGCUUCAGCAUGAGGCGCAGAACAGAAUCUUAUUAUGAACACUAAUCUACGUUACUUGUUCGAGGCUUGAGUCAUAUAACAUGUUUGGUGUGAACUACAUUGGGAAUGUGUUUUCGGAACGCUUAUAGAGGUAGUAAAGAGACCUACCU